UUGGAAAACAAUCUUGCUAGUUUCCAUGUUAUCAUUCAGGAAUGUAAAGGCUCAUUAUUUUUUGCAAGGAUUUUAUCUCCAAGAAUACAAGGGGAGAUAGGAUGGAAGAGACUGACCCAAGAAGAGGCCCCAGGAGGCCACAGGAAUGCCAAACUAUUAGGUACCAGGUCAACAUAACCCAGCAAAGAACUGAGGAAAGCUGUAAGAGUGAGAGAGGCGUCUGCUACCAGAGUUCAGACUGAGCAUGUGCAGGACCAUGCCAAUGUAUGCCAGUGAUAGUAAAAUGUUGGUAAAUAGCUUGAGUCAUCUUUAUGGAUGUAAGGAGGGGAUAUGGUACCUUUGAGCUUCAUGGGAUGGAACGGGAUGGAAGAAAGAAGAGAUGUGCCUUUGGAAAGGAAGAAAGUUAGCUUUGCCAUGUGCUACAGCCUUCUCCCCACAGCUGCUAACCAGAGACAAGGUUCAUGGGAGCUGUAGCUGAAAAAUUCCUUACUCUGUAGCCAACUUUCUGGAGAUGAGCCUCUACAAUCAGUGGGACAUAGUUCUCAAAUGACAGGCAUGAAGCCGCUUACUGGAGCCAUACUGGCAAAUCUUGUCAUCACAUAGCAGAGCUCACUAACUCAAAGUUUAGCUUUCCAAAGCCCAGAGUCAUUUAAACACCAAGAUGAAGCAUCCAAGGAGGACUCAAGUGAAAGAAGAUCCUAAAGAAAUACAAAUUAUUGAUGAGUACUGUAGCACUGAUUGGGGGUUCCACAUUUCAAAUCUGAAUUGUCUCUGAUCACAUGUUUCCUAUGACCCAAAUUGCCCUAUUCCUAUCUGGAACAGUUCUGAAGAAGGUCACAGAAGAAGAGGAUUUAAAGCUCUCUUUAAACAUCUCAGAGACCAUGUAGCCCAACCUGCUUAGCUUACAGUCAGAUAAGAACUUUGAAACUCAUUAAAAGAAAAUGACUUGACCAGAGUCACACAGUUAGGACUCAUGACUCCAAAACCAAUAAGCUUAACCAUAUACAAAGUACUCAGAGAAAAGGUUAUUGUAUUGAAAGCAUGAAUAUUACAUAUAGCUUAUCU
rnacentral:lncRNA from 1 species